UCGCCUCUAUCACUCGAUCUUUCUCUUUCUCCCUCACCUUCACUCCAUUUCAGUCUCUGCUUCAAUUUUUUUUUUCAUGGAUCUCACUUCUGCUAUCGUCAAAACUCCACCACCAUGAGUAAACCAAUUAAACAAAAACUAUUUUAUCUACAAUUUUUUUUCUUCUGAAAACCAUUGUCUUCAAUCUUUCUUUUGUAAACCUACCAUCAUUACAACUUCGAGAGAAAUUUUUCUCCUGAUUAUAUUGUUCUUCAAUCCUUAUAUUGAAAACCCACCAAUUUUUUCUCUUCAAUAUUAAUUCCUCGUGCUUGAUUUUCAAUAGGAAAAGUUAGGGUUUGCAAUUUCGAAGUUAGGGUUUGCAAUUGUUUUGGGGGAUUCGUUAUGAAGAUCAUGUUGUUUGUAGUUUCUAUUUUUUUUAGGUGAUUCCCCGUGAAAUCAUGGAUUCCUCGCAAAUCCCUUCAACAAAUUUCCGAUUUCUCGACUCCAAUUUCCCACCAUUCUUCUUCUAAUCUUAAGCAUUCGACAAGAAAUUUCAGAGACCAAAUCAGCAAGUUAAUGAUUCUUAAAAAAACCCACUUAUCCUCGAUUUAGACAUGCCCGCAACAUGAGCAACGAUUCAGAUAAGAGAGAUCAAAGGACUUUACCUGUACCAGAGUUCUAGUUUGGUACUAGUUUGUGACAUCAACAUUUUGUCAUGCUAACUGCUUGUUGAGGAGGAGAAAGGGAACUUUGCACUGUGGACUUCUUACAUUCUAACAGGUGUUGGAGCAAACCUGGUGUCAUGGUUAGUUCUCCCAAGAAAUGCAGUUUCUCUUGGAGCGUCUGGUGCUGUGUUCGGUCUAUUUGAUAUCAGUGUUCUUGUCAAAAUGUGUUGGCACUGGAGAAAGAUCCUUGAAGUUCUUAUACUAGGCCAGUUUGUUAUCGAGAAGUCAGGUGAUGAGAGCAGCACAAGAUUCAACAGAAUGUCAGGUGGAAGUUCCGCUAUGCAAAGUGUCAAUCACAUUGCUCAUCUGUCUGGCUCUUUGGUCGGUGCAGGUCUAGUUUGGCUUCUAAGUAGAGUUCCAUCUGAACCUUCCGACCGAGGCAUACCGAAGUUCAAUGAUAAUACAAAUCGAAAAACUUAAGUGCUUGUGGUGUAGCGAACCAACUUAUUAGCCUAUGAACGACAAAUGCAAAUGAGCAAGAUGGGAAGUGGCAAAGUGCUCGGGAGACACCAUCAAUGAAUUAACAAUGAUGCAUCACCAUCGUCAUGCUCUGUAAGCCAUGUGAAUUGGUUUGAUGGAGCAGCUAGUCGAGGUGGCUACUGCUUGUACCUGCUAUAGCGAUUACUGAUAGAGGUGAAUACCUAGUCUUUAACCAGUAUUUUGUUACUUGUGUUAUGUGUAUAACUUCUAAUGAUGCUAAACUGAUCUAGACGGACUAAGAAGGUUCUUGUACU